UGGACAGAUAAAAUUUAUUUGUGUGAUACCUGAUUUUUGCUUUCUUUAGAUCUGCAAAAAUCAGGUAUCACACAAAUAAAUUUUUAUUUGCGUG
rnacentral:pre_miRNA from 1 species